UACGGGGGGGGCAAGCGUUGUUCGGAAUUACUGGGCGUAAAGGGCUCGUAGGUGGCCAACUAAGUCAGACGUGAAAUCCCUCAGCUUAACUGGGGAACUGCGUCUGAUACUGGAUGGCUUGAGUUUGGGAGAGGGAUGCGGAAUUCCAGGUGUAGCGGUGAAAUGCGUAGAUAUCUGGAGGAACACCGGUGGCGAAGGCAGCAUCCUGGACCAACACUGACACUGAGGAGCGAAAGCCAGGGGAGCAAACGGG
rnacentral:rRNA from 1 species